GGAUUUGUACCAAGAUCAUGCCAAGAUGUUACAUAAAUCCUGCAAGAUCAUGGAAAGAUCUUGCUUGAUCUUGCAAGAUCUUUCCAAGUUCUUGCAGGAUCUUACCUAAGAUCUUGCAGGAUCUUGCAAGAUCUUUCCAUGUUCUUGCAGGAUCUUACCUAAGAUCUUGCAAGAUCUUGCCAUUAUCAUGGCAAGAUCUUGCCAUUAUCAUGGCAAGAUCUUGCAGGAUUUGUGCCAAGAUCAUGCCAAGAUCUUACAUAAAUCCUGCAAGAUCAUGGAAAGAUCUUGCAUGAUCUUGCAAGAUCUUUC